AACGUAGGACACAAGCGUUAUCCGGAAUUACUGGGCGUAAAGUGUGCGCAGGCGGCUUCGCAAGUCGAGUGUGAAAUCCCCGAGCUUAACUUGGGAAUUGCGCUCGAAACUACGGAGCUGGAGUGUGGCAGAGGAAGGUGGAAUUCCACGUGUAGCGGUGAAAUGCGUAGAGAUGUGGAGGAACACCGAUGGCGAAGGCAGCCUUCUGGGCCAACACUGACGCUCAUGCACGAAAGCGUGGGGAGCAAACAGG
rnacentral:rRNA from 1 species